rnacentral:rRNA from 1 species
GACGAACGCUGGCGGCGUGCUUAACACAUGCAAGUCGAACGGGACCUUUAUUUCGGUAAAGGUGAGAGUGGCAAACGGGUGAGUAACACGUAGGCACCUGCCGACAGGAUGGGGACAACAUUCCGAAAGGAAUGCUAAUACCGAAUGGAGUCCGGGGAUGGCAUCAUCUCCGGAUAAAAGAUGGCCUCUGAAUAUGCUAUCGCCUGUCGAUGGGCCUGCGUCUGAUUAGCCAGUUGGCGGGGUAACGGCCCACCAAAGCGACGAUCAGUAGCCGGUCUGAGAGGAUGAACGGCCACAUUGGGACUGAGACACGGCCCAGACUCCUACGGGAGGCAGCAGUGGGGAAUCUUCCACAAUGGGCGAAAGCCUGAUGGAGCAACGCCGCGUGAGUGAAGAAGGUCUUCGGAUCGUAAAGCUCUGUUGCACGGGACGAAAACCCAGGUUUGAGAAUAUUGAAAUUGGGUGACGGUACCGAGCGAGGAA